GAGCAGCCCAAUGUAUGUUCAUUUGUUUGUUUUCAGACAGGGCCUAUGUGGCUAUUAUAUAGCCCAGGCUGGCCUAUAUCGUUCUGCUUCAGCCUCCCAAAUGCUGUGGUGAUAGGAUCUGGGCAUCUCCUGUACAUGAAGACCACUGAGGCCCAAUAGAGAAGCAGCUGCUUACUCAAGGCCAUGCACACUUGUGAAAGAGCUGGGAUAGGAGCUCUUUCCACAAGCCACAUUGGUCUGAUUUCCGUUAGCCCGGGGCCUUGCACAGAGCUGGUCUAGGAUGGGGUAAAUCAUCCCUACCCACAGGAGAAUUACAAUACAAUUAGCAUCUUCCUCCCUUCCUUUGGCCCCUCCUCAGACUCCUUAUCUUUUGGGUGGCCCCCUUCCUGCUGUUUGGGUUGGAUUUUAUUUCUUGUAGACUCUGGCUGCUCUCCAGACCUAAAAGGCUCUUAGCCCCAUUAUCCUGACAGGCUGAGUCCCUAACCCUGGCUGAAAUGUUGUCUUUUUAUGGAAGUAGGCCCAGACACCUCACUAGUACUUUGACCUCACCUACAUCCUUUUCUUGAGGGAGCCAUGCCCACUUGCUUUCUUCCCCAGCCUUCCCUAAAGCAUUAACUCAUCCCCUGCCAUGCGUGUAGGAUGCCAAGCACAGGAGAAAGGAAUCGGAUGUGUUUUCAAAAGCCUAGGAGAGUCCCUGCCUGCAGCAGAUGCUCACAAGCCCUGAGAUGGAAACGGUCUAGCCUGUGCUUAAUGUCCAGAAAUUCAUACAGCAGGGACCUCUGAGCAAGAUCAAGAGAGAAAUGUGGGCAGGAAGGAUGGCUCAGCGGAUAAGAGCACUGACUGCUCUUCCAGAGGUCCUGAGUUCAAUUCCCAGCAACCACAUGGUGGCUCACAACCAUCUGUAAUGGGAUCCGAUGCCCGCUUCUGGUAUGUCUGAAGACAGGGACAGUGUACUAUAAACAAACAAACGAACAAAUUAAUAAAGUAAUAUGUUAUUUUAAAAAGAGAAAUAGAAAAACCCUUCUUUUUCUUCUUCAACUUCCUCCUCCUCCUCAUCUUCUUUUUGGAGGCAGGGUUAAAACAGGGUUUUACUAUAUAGCCC
ensembl:lncRNA